rnacentral:lncRNA from 1 species
GGGCUUUGUACGUGAAGAAAAUCCAAUAAAAUUCUUGAAAACUUCCGCUUGGGAGACACAGCGUUUAAAAAUAAAGGCUGUUGUAAAACUGGUAGGAGGAGAGAGGAAGGGCGGAAAUACAGUUCGAGUCCUGAGGAAGCUAAACUACAACUCCCAGGAAGCCACGGGCUGGGCUUCACGUUACGCCUGCGUUGCGACGCUUCAGGACUCGGUUCGCGGCCACACACUUUUUUCAGCAACAAAGAGAAACCCAAGGAGCGCAAACUGGCGAAGCAGCUACGCCUUGACGACCACGGUAUCUUCCUGAGGGUGGUGGUUCCAAUCUUCGCUUCUAAUGGACCAAGGAAACCAAUAGCUGCCCCGUUGUACCCGUUAGCCACGUGACCAUCCCGGGUCCUGUGACUCUGGAGCUCAGCUGCCGAAGUUUGUUACCCUGACAACCGCUGGCCCAUGGGGACCUUCGGGAAAGCGCGGGAUUCAGAGGCAAAGGUAGGUCAGGCGUGGACGCUGGCUCGCCUUCUAAAAUACCUUAGCCAAGGUUGUGCCUUAAAGCUUUCAUUUGUCGGGUCAUUACCCUCUCCGCCCGAACUCCACUGCAGAUGCGUCUUCGUUUACCUGCCAGCAUCCAAAUUCGCGCUUUCUGGAGCCAGGACGCCGCCAAACUGAAGCCCUUUUGAUGGGUUCCGCCUCUAAUCAAGCUUUGGGCAAGACUUUAACCGCGGCCACUCAGACCUGAUCCAAAAUGCUGAUAAAGGGAGGGGGUAUCGUUCUGCAGGUUAGGGAAAGUACGGUCCGGGGAGCUGGCCGACUUCCUCUCUAGCAUAAAAGAACGCUGGGGUUUGUGGAGCCUCAAGGAGUUAAAAUCCAGAAGCUAGGGCAGAUCUGAAAUUGGGUUCUUUAUGGGGGAAGAGGAUAGCUUUGCGUUGCAAACCACUGGAUUCCACUUAAAGUGUUCAGGGCCUUGUUUUUGUUGGCUUCCGUUUCCUUGCUCCCACCCCCAUAGCGCUAACUUGCAUACUAUAAAAGUAGUCUUUUAAGUACUGAGUCUGUUAAAUCUGAUUGUCUAUAUCUGGAAGUGAAUUUUGCAAAAGGAUUAACAAGGAUUGGAAAAUAACUAGCCGAAUCCGGGAGCACUGACUGGUCUUUACAAAGAAAAAAAUGGUGGUUCUUUCAGUUUGCUGAGAUUCUCUUUGAAGACCUGGAUUGUGUCUGAGAGUGUUGUAAAUUCUUUAGAAUGUUUGCUUUGGGAAAUUAAAAUUAUUGACAAUGGCUCAUUACUCUAAAGAGGAGCUGGAUGAAGAAUUUGAACAGUUUAUGAAGGAGGUAAGUUUAUGUCUUUUAAAAGCAGUAUUGUAAAUUUGUCUCAUCUAGUUCUCUUCCAUUUCAAAUGCUGCUCCACCUUCUAAUUGAAUGCCAUCAUUUCACCUGGCCUCCUGCAACUAUUCCCAACCAGUGGCCUUCACCACAAUCCAGCCAGAUGAGCUGUCAUUUUUCAUCUGACACUCUUCAUCCCCAAUAUAAAACCAUAUGUCUUCCUGUCUCAUGUAGAAUAAAAUCCAAACUCCUCAUGUUGCCUUAUGAAGGCCACUAUAAUUUUACUCAUGUCUACCUUACAGGGUUUAUAUCACUCUUUCCCUUUGUCCACUUUAUUUACAGUGGCCUUGUUUCCCCCACCCUUGUCAUACCAUUUCACCUUAAGGCAGUGGUGGUGAACAUUUAGAUCUUUCAGUGAUAAACAGCCCACUGCAGUACAUGUGCCAUAGGUUCGCCACUACUUCUUAGUGGCUGUGUAGUGCCUGUUCCCUCCAACAGGGUUGUCAUGUUAACUAAUUCUUCACUUGGUUGGUGAAGAUCUUUAAAUGUCAAUACCUCAAAGAAGCUUUUUGUGAUAACUCAGUAAAAAGUAACCCAGUCACUUCUUAGUAUACCAUGUAUUUAAUUCUUUUCAUAGCACUUAGCACCAUUCAUUAUUUUUCUUGUGUGGGUCUAUUUUCUACUUUAUAAGAACAUAUGGUCCAUGACAUUAUAGCUAACCUCAUUGUCAAGUAUGCAGGACCUAAAAGAUGCUUGCUAAAUAUCUGCUGAAUGAGUAAUGGGCUAUGCCACAUUCUGUAUAUUUACAUGGAUGGAGGGGACUUGUAGAACAUUCAGGAAAGUGCUUGUUCUUAGAGUGGUUAAUAAGCUUUUUAAAAUUAGCUUUGAGAUAUUGUUG